AAACCGCAUGGUUUCUGUUUGAAAGGUGGUUUCGGCUAUCACUUCUGGAUGGACCCGCGGCGUAUUAGUUAGUUGGUGAGGUAAAGGCCCACCAAGACAAUGAUACGUAGCCGACCUGAGAGGGUAAUCGGCCACAUUGGGACUGAGACACGGCCCAAACUCCUACGGGAGGCAGCAGUAGGGAAUCUUCCACAAUGGACGAAAGUCUGAUGGAGCAAUGCCGCGUGAGUGAAGAAGGGUUUCGGCUCGUAAAACUCUGUUGUUAAAGAAGAACACUCUUGAGAGUAACUGUUCAGGAGUUGACGGUAUUUAACCAGAAAGCCACGGCUAACUACGUGCCAGCAGCCGCGGUAAUACGUAGGUGGCAAGCGUUGUCCGGAUUUAUUGGGCGUAAAGCGAGCGCAGGCGGUUUCUUAAGUCUGAUGUGAAAGCCUUCGGCUUAACCGGAGAAGUGCAUCGGAAACUGGGAGACUUGAGUGCAGAAGAGGACAGUGGAACUCCAUGUGUAGCGGUGGAAUGCGUAGAUAUAUGGAAGAACACCAGUGGCGAAGGCGGCUGUCUAGUCUGUAACUGACGCUGAGGCUCGAAAGCAUGGGUAGCAAACAGGAUUAGAUACCCUGGUAGUCCAUGCCGUAAACGAUGAGUGCUAGGUGUUGGAGGGUUUCCGCCCUUCAGUGCCGUAGCUAACGCAUUAAGCACUCCGCCUGGGGAGUACGACCGCAAGGUUGAAACUCAAGGAAUUGACGGGGGCCCGCACAAGCGGUGGAGCAUGUGGUUUAUUCGAAGCUACGCGA
rnacentral:rRNA from 1 species